GACGAACGCUGGCGGCGUGCCUAAUACAUGCAAGUAGAACGCUGAAGCUUGGUGCUUGCACCGAGCGGAUGAGUUGCGAACGGGUGAGUAACGCGUAGGUAACCUGCCUGGUAGCGGGGGAUAACUAUUGGAAACGAUAGCUAAUACCGCAUAAGAGUAGAUGUUGCAUGACAUUUGCUUAAAAGGUGCAAUUGCAUCACUACCAGAUGGACCUGCGUUGUAUUAGCUAGUUGGUGAGGUAACGGCUCACCAAGGCAACGCUACAUAGCCGACCUGAGAGGGUGAUCGGCCACACUGGGACUGAGACACGGCCCAGACUCCUACGGGAGGCAGCAGUAGGGAAUCUUCGGCAAUGGACGGAAGUCUGACCGAGCAACGCCGCGUGAGUGAAGAAGGUUGUCGGAUCGUAAAGCUCUGUUGUAAGAGAAGAACGAGUGUGAGAGUGGAAAGUUCACACUGUGACGGUAUCUUACCAGAAAGGGACGGCUAACUACGUG
rnacentral:rRNA from 1 species